CCCUUAGAUGUUCUGGGCUGCACACGUGCUACACUGGCAGGUUCAGCGAGCUUCAUGCCCUGAUCUGAAAGGAAUGGGAAAUCUUUUCAAAACCUGCCGUGCUUGGGAUAGAUGUUUGCAAUUAUUCAUCUUCAACGAGGAUUGCCUUGUAAGCGCACGUCAUCAGCGUGCAUUGAAUACGACCCUGUAUUCUGUACACACCGCCCGCCGCUCCUACCGAUUGAAGUUUUCGGUGAGUUGACAGGAGGAUUUUUUUGAAACUGGUUCGCCAGUGGAUUUUAGAUCCAAAUGCCAACGAAUCGAUGGCUUUAGAGGAAGGAGAAGUCGUAACA
rnacentral:rRNA from 1 species